rnacentral:rRNA from 1 species
AUUGAACGCUGGCGGCAUGCCUUACACAUGCAAGUCGAACGGUAACAGGUCUUCGGAUGCUGACGAGUGGCGAACGGGUGAGUAAUACAUCGGAACGUGCCUAGUAGUGGGGGAUAACUACUCGAAAAAGUGGCUAAUACCGCAUGAGAUCUACGGAUGAAAGCAGGGGAUCGCAAGACCUUGUGCUACUAGAGCGGCCGAUGGCAGAGUAGGUAGUUGGUGGGAUAAAAGCUUACCAAGCCGACGAUCUGUAGCUGGUCUGAGAGGACGAUCAGCCACACUGGGACUGAGACACGGCCCAGACUCCUACGGGAGGCAGCAGUGGGGAAUUUUGGACAAUGGGCGAAAGCCUGAUCCAGCAAUGCCGCGUGCAGGAUGAAGGCCUUCGGGUUGUAAACUGCUUUUGUACGGAACGAAAAGCCCUGGGUUAAUACCCUGGGGUCAUGACGGUACCGUAAGAAUAAGCACCGGCUAACUACGUGCCAGCAGCCGCCGUAA